rnacentral:snoRNA from 1 species
CUGCAGCCAAUUUAGCCGACUGGGGCCCUCAUGAGGGCCCAGCAUGCAAUGGCUGCAAACAGCAGCUUCCUUGGUAGUGUAAUGCAGCCUAUUUCUUGUAUGGGUUGCACUAAGGGACCUUGGAGACAAGC